CCUACGGGUGGCAGCAGUGAGGAAUAUUGGUCAAUGGCCGAGAGGCUGAACCAGCCAAGUCGCGUGAGGGAAGACGGCCCUACGGGUUGUAAACCUCUUUUGUCGGGGAGCAAAGAGAGUCACGUGUGACUCAUUGAGAGUACCCGAAGAAAAAGCAUCGGCUAACUCCGUGCCAGCAGCCGCGGUAAUACGGAGGAUGCGAGCGUUAUCCGGAUUUAUUGGGUUUAAAGGGUGCGCAGGCGGAGGUGCAAGUCAGCGGUAAAAUUGCGGGGCUCAACCCCGUACUGCCGUUGAAACUGGCAGUCUUGAGUACAGUAGAGGUGGGCGGAAUGCGUGGUGUAGCGGUGAAAUGCUUAGAUAUCACGAAGAACUCCGAUUGCGAAGGCAGUAUACCGGCGCCCAACUGACGCUGAAGCACGAAAGCGUGGGUAUCGAACAGGAUUAGAUACCCCAGUAGUC
rnacentral:rRNA from 1 species